GAUGAACGCUGGCGGCGUGCCUAAUACAUGCAAGUCGAGCGAACGGACGAGAAGCUUGCUUCUCUGAUGUUAGCGUCGGACGGGUGAGUAACACGUGGAUAACCUACCUAUAAGACUGGGAUAACUUCGGGAAACCGGAGCUAAUACCGGUUGAUAUUUUGAACCGCAUGGUUCAUAUGUGAAAGACGGUCUUGCUGCCACUUAUUGAUGGAUCCGCGCUGCAUUAGCUAGUUGGUAAGGUAACGGCUUACCAAGGCAACGAUGCAUAGCCGACCUGAGAGGGGGAUCGGCCACACUGGAACUGAGACACGGUCCAGACUCCUACGGGAGGCAGCAGUAGGGAAUCUUCCGCAAUGGGCGAAAGCCGGACGGAGCAACGCCGCGUGAGUGAUGAAGGUCUUCGGAUCGUAAAACUCUGUUAUUAGGGAAGAACAGAUGUGUAAGUAACUGUGCACAUCUUGACGGUACCUAAUCAGAAAGCCACGGCUAACUACGUG
rnacentral:rRNA from 1 species